rnacentral:rRNA from 1 species
GACGAACGCUGGCGGCGCGCCUAACACAUGCAAGUCGAACGAGCGAAAGAGAGCUUGCUUUCUUGAGCGAGUGGCGAACGGGUGAGUAACGCGUGAGGAACCUGCCUCAAAGAGGGGGACAACAGUUGGAAACGACUGCUAAUACCGCAUAAGCCCACGACCCGGCAUCGGGUUGAGGGAAAAGGAGCAAUCCGCUUUGAGAUGGCCUCGCGUCCGAUUAGCUAGUUGGUGAGGUAACGGCCCACCAAGGCAACGAUCGGUAGCCGGACUGAGAGGUUGAACGGCCACAUUGGGACUGAGACACGGCCCAGACUCCUACGGGAGGCAGCAGUGGGGAAUAUUGCACAAUGGGGGAAACCCUGAUGCAGCGACGCCGCGUGGAGGAAGAAGGUCUUCGGAUUGUAAACUCCUGUUGUUGAGGAAGAUAAUGACGGUACUCAACAAGGAAGUGACGGCUAACUACGUGCCAGCAGCCGCGGUAAAACGUAGGUCACAAGCGUUGUCCGGAAUUACUGGGUGUAAAGGGAGCGCAGGCGGGAAGACAAGUUGGAAGUGAAAUCUAUGGGCUCAACCCAUAAACUGCUUUCAAAACUGUUUUUCUUGAGUAGUGCAGAGGUAGGCGGAAUUCCCGGUGUAGCGGUGGAAUGCGUAGAUAUCGGGAGGAACACCAGUGGCGAAGGCGGCCUACUGGGCACCAACUGACGCUGAGGCUCGAAAGUGUGGGUAGCANACAGG